rnacentral:rRNA from 1 species
GCUCCAGCAGGUCAGCGGCGGACGGGUGAGUAACACGUGGGCAACCUGCCUGUAAGACUGGGAUAACUCCGGGAAACCGGAGCUAAUACCGGAUAGUAUCUUGAACCGCAUGGUUCAAGUUGGAAAGACGGUUUCGGCUGUCACUUACAGAUGGGCCCGCGGCGCAUUAGCUAGUUGGUGAGGUAAUGGCUCACCAAGGCAACGAUGCGUAGCCGACCUGAGAGGGUGAUCGGCCACACUGGGACUGAGACACGGCCCAGACUCCUACGGGAGGCAGCAGUAGGGAAUCUUCCGCAAUGGACGAAAGUCUGACGGAGCAACGCCGCGUGAGUGAUGAAGGUUUUCGGAUCGUAAAACUCUGUUGUUAGGGAAGAACAAGUGCGAGAGUAACUGCUCGCACCUUGACGGUACCUAACCAGAAAGCCACGGCUAACUACGUGCCAGCAGCCGCGGUAAUACGUAGGUGGCAAGCGUUGUCCGGAAUUAUUGGGCGUAAAGCGCGCGCAGGCGGUUUCUUAAGUCUGAUGUGAAAGCCCCCGGCUCAACCGGGGAGGGUCAUUGGAAACUGGGAAACUUGAGUGCAGAAGAGGAGAGUGGAAUUCCACGUGUAGCGGUGAAAUGCGUAGAGAUGUGGAGGAACACCAGUGGCGAAGGCGACUCUCUGGUCUGUAACUGACGCUGAGGCGCGAAAGCGUGGGGAGCGAACAGGAUUAGAUACCCUGGUAGUCCACGCCGUAAACGAUGAGUGC